rnacentral:rRNA from 1 species
UACGUAGGCGGACUAAUAAGUCGAGGGUGAAAUCCCAGGGCUCAACCCUGGAACUGCCUUCGAUACUGUUAGUCUUGAGGUCGAGAGAGGUGAGUGGAAUUCCGAGUGUAGAGGUGAAAUUCGUAGAUAUUCGGAGGAACACCAGUGGCGAAGGCGGCUCACUGGCUCGAUACUGACGCUGAGGUACGAAAGUGUGGGGAGCAAACAGGAUUAGAUACCCUGGUAGUCC